rnacentral:rRNA from 1 species
GGCAUAUACAAAGAGAAGCGACCUCGCGAGAGCAAGCGGACCUCAUAAAGUAUGUCGUAGUCCGGAUUGGAGUCUGCAACUCGACUCCAUGAAGUCGGAAUCGCUAGUAAUCGUAGAUCAGAAUGCUACGGUGAAUACGUUCCCGGGCCUUGUACACACCGCCCGUCACACCAUGGGAGUGGGUUGCAAAAGAAGUAGGUAGCUUAACCUUCGGGAGGGCGCUUACCACUUUGUGAUUCAUGACUGGGGUGAAGUCGUAACAAGGUAACCGUAGGGGAACCUGCGGUUGGAUCACCUCCUUACCUUAAAGAA